UUCCAUGACAUAACCUUUGCAUGCAACUCUUGCACUCUCUUCCUUAUUUUUGAUAUCACUGCCAAAUCAAAGGUAGUAAUCAUCUUCAUUUUUGGAACUUGAUGCACCUCCGUUUUACAUGUAUAAAUCCUUAAGAACUUGGUGAUAUUCGUUCCAUCAAAUCUCCCAAUCUUGUCCACUACAACUUGUAAGCCUUAGUGGUGCUCCUAUCUUCUCCAUGCACCUGUUGCCUUUCCUAUAUAAAUUGAGCAAAUAUCCUGAAUAAAUCAUAGGCACCUACACCUCUUGGUAAUCCAAACCCUGGAUUUUUAUCCCCCAUUUUAACUUAUUGAGGAAAUUAGUGCCUUAAGGCUCUCUCAGUGGAAGCACCAAGAUGUUCAAGUAGAGAGGUUUUGCCUCAAGAAAGCGUUGGGCUUCUGGCUGUCACUAAUUACUCAAUCAAGCUUAAAAUAAGGAAACCCUAAUUUUAUAUAUAUAAGUUCUCCUUUUGGGACAAUUACACCAAAUACUUAAGUCUUAAAUAACCAACAACAUCCAAAAUAUGGUAGAAGUACUCUAAAACCUUGUAUAUCCUUGUGUGGAAAUUCUCCCGAACCUCAACACCUCAUAACUCUUGAUCCAACUGUCCAAAUAAGAUCAAAAUUUACAUGAAGUACUGAUAUGUUGUUGUUAAUUUCUACAACAAAUUUCAACCGCAAAUUCUUUGCGGAUCUUGAGAUAUCUUCAAAACCCUAACAGUCGCUUCAAACCCUAAUCUUUAUAUACCCGCGUGCAAUUUUCUUCAUAUCUCACAAAUCAUAAGUCCAAAUGCCACGAAACUUGUAUAGAUAGCUUUUUAACACAAAUUUUUACAUUCUCCCAAAGUUUGAGCCAAAAUUUCGUUCGAAAACUCACUUAUGGCUCCUAACACUACUUUGAACAAAACCGCUCACUUACUGCCUUUGAUUUGAAUGCGCUGUCUUUAACUUCCUAUAACUCCUUCACAUAAACUCCAAAUGCAAAAUUUCCUUCGCAAAAGAUGUAUGUCUUAAAGUUGCCCUUCCAGCCGCACCUUCCGAUCUCCAAAAGCUUCCGUAAGACUCCUCUUAAACUCAAAAGAGUAACAGUAGGUCUCAAAUUGACACCUUAACUUCAAACGGCUAUAACUUAUUCACCCUAACUCCAAACCCUAUAAAAUUUGCACAAAAAUUGUAGCCAAAACCCUAAACUUUACAAUCCUUGCCUCUGAUUUCCUAAAGGCCUCUUUGAAGUCGCCGAAACCCU
rnacentral:lncRNA from 1 species